UACGAAGGGGGGCUAGCGUUGCUCGGAUUGACUGGGCGUAAAGGGCGCGUAGGCGGAUAGUACAGUCAGGCGUGAAAUUCCUGGGCUCAACCUGGGGGCUGCGUUUGAUACGUAUUGUCUGGAGUUCGGAAGAGGGUCGUGGAAUUCCCAGUGUAGAGGUGAAAUUCGUAGAUAUUGGGAAGAACACCGAUGGCGAAGGCAAUCCCCUGGGCCUGCACUGACGCUCAUGCACGAAAGCGUGGGGAGCAAACAGG
rnacentral:rRNA from 1 species